rnacentral:rRNA from 1 species
ACUCCUACGGGAGGCAGCAGUGGGGAAUAUUGGACAAUGGGCGAAAGCCUGAUCCAGCCAUGCCGCGUGUGUGAAGAAGGUCUUCGGAUUGUAAAGCACUUUCACUUGGGAAGAAAAGCUCGUAGCUAAUACCUGCGAGCCGUGACAUUACCUUGAGAAGAAGCACCGGCUAACUCCGUGCCAGCAGCCGCGGUAAUA